rnacentral:rRNA from 1 species
CCGGAAUUAUUGGGCGGAAAGGGCUCGUAGGCGGUUUGUCGCGUCGGGAGUGAAAACCUCGGGCUUAACUCGGGGCUUGCUUUCGAUACGGGCAGACUGGAGGUAUGCAGGGGAGAACGGAAUUCCUGGUGUAGCGGUGAAAUGCGCAGAUAUCAGGAGGAACACCAAUGGCGAAAGCAGCUCUCUGGGACGGUACUGACGCUGAGACGCGAAAGCGUGGGGAGCGAACAGG